rnacentral:rRNA from 1 species
GAUGAACGCUAGCGGGAGGCCUAACACAUGCAAGCCGAACGGGAUUGGGAGCUUGCUCCCAUGAGAGUGGCGCACGGGUGAGUAACGCGUAUGCAACCUGCCUUUAACAGAGGGAUAGCCCAUAGAAAUGUGGAUUAAUACCUCAUAGUUCUUUUGUUCCGCAUGGGAUGAAAGAUAAAGCUCCGGCGGUUAAAGAUGGGCAUGCGUGACAUUAGCUAGUUGGUAAGGUAACGGCUUACCAAGGCAACGAUGUCUAGGGGUUCUGAGAGGAUGAUCCCCCANACUGGUACUGAGACACGGACCAGACUCCUACGGGAGGCAGCAGUGAGGAAUAUGGUCAAUGGGCGCAAGCCUGAACCAGCCAUCCCGCGUGAAGGAUGAAGGCCCUAUGGGUCGUAAACUUCUUUUAUACACCAAGAAAAAGCAGGACGAGUCCUGUCCCGACGGUAGUGUAUGGAUAAGCAUCGGCUAACUCCGU